UGUCAGCAGCCGCGGUAAUACAGAGACUGCAAGCGUUAUUCGGAUUCACUGGGCGUAAAGGGUGCGCAGGCGGCCGUGUGUGUUAGGUGUGAAAGCCCGGGGCUUAACCUCGGAAUUGCGCCUAAAACUACACGGCUAGAGCAUUGGAGAGGGUAGCGGAAUUCACGGUGUAGCAGUGAAAUGCGUAGAUAUCGUGAGGAACACCAGAGGCGAAGGCGGCUACCUGGACAAUUGCUGACGCUCAGGCACGAAAGCGUGGGGAGCAAAAGGGAUUAGAUACCCCUGUAGUCCACGCCCUAAACGGUGCACACUAGGUCUUAGCGGAUUCGAUCCCGCUAGGGCCCAAGCUAACGCGUUAAGUGUGCCGCCUGAGGACUACGGUCGCAAGACUAAAACUCAAAUAAAUUGACGG
rnacentral:rRNA from 1 species